AACGAACGCUGGCGGCAUGCCUAACACAUGCAAGUCGAACGAGACCUUCGGGUCUAGUGGCGCACGGGUGCGUAACGCGUGGGAACCUGCCUUUAGGUUCGGAAUAACUCAGAGAAAUUUGAGCUAAUACCGGAUAAUGUCUUCGGACCAAAGAUUUAUCGCCUUUAGAUGGGCCCGCGUAAGAUUAGCUAGUUGGUGGGGUAAAGGCCUACCAAGGCGACGAUCUUUAGCUGGUCUGAGAGGAUGAUCAGCCACACUGGGACUGAGACACGGCCCAGACUCCUACGGGAGGCAGCAGUGGGGAAUAUUGGACAAUGGGCGAAAGCCUGAUCCAGCAAUGCCGCGUGAGUGAUGAAGGCCUUAGGGUUGUAAAAGGCUCUUUUACCCCGAGAUGAUAAUGACUGUAUCGGGAGAAUAAGCUCCGGCUAACUCCGUGCCAGCAGCCGCGGUAAU
rnacentral:rRNA from 1 species